rnacentral:tRNA from 1 species
UCCGAAGUAACUCAGUGGUAGAGUAAUCCGCUGUUAACGGAGAGGUCGGGGGUUCGAAUCCCUCCUUCGGAGCCA